rnacentral:misc_RNA from 1 species
AAGUCGUAACAAGGUUUCCGUAGGUGAACCUGCGGAAGGAUCAUUACCAUUGGCACGAAGGGGACCGGCCUUACGGUCGACCCCCGGACUCCUCACCCGAUGUCAUGCGGUACUUGUUGCUUUGGCGGACCAGCUUCGACCCUCCGUGCGAUCCACACGGGGCGAGCUGCCGGCACUCGUUCGGCCAGCGUCCGCCAGGGGACCGACCCAAAUUCGUCACCAUUUGACGUGUUGACCCUUCUGAGUUGAUUGUUUCAGGUCCGACCUGAAAACAUACGAAUCUAGUCAAAACUUUCAACAACGGAUCUCUCGGCUCC